rnacentral:rRNA from 1 species
UUGUGCCUACGGGACGCAGCAGUGGGGAAUAUUGGGCAAUGGGCGCAAGCCUGACCCAGCAACGCCGCGUGAAGGAAGAAGGCUUUCGGGUUGUAAACUUCUUUUCUCAGGGACGAAGAAAGUGACGGUACCUGAGGAAUAAGCCACGGCUAACUACGUGCCAGCAGCCGCGGUAAUACGUAGGUGGCAAGCGUUAUCCGGAUUUACUGGGUGUAAAGGGCGUGUAGGCGGGAAAGCAAGUCAGAUGUGAAAACCAUGGGCUCAACCUGUGGCCUGCAUCUGAAACUGUUUUUCUUUAGUACUGG